CUGUUGCCAGGGUGAUGGACCAGCAUCAGCUGCCUUCGCUGCAGUCGGAGAUCCAGGAGUUGGCAGUGCGGAAUGGUUUGCGGAACCUGAGCGAUCUCUCGUCCCUUCGCGACCAUUUCAACUCUGGCCGUAGUUGUAUCGCUUGCGGUGCCAAGGUUUCAGGCCUUCUGCUUUCCUGGGGUUAUUUCCUGGUUGUUCGAUGACUCCGCCAUUGGAUGGGAAGGAAAGAACGUGGGCUACAACUGUUGUUUUCCAGUAGUCAUGUAUGGAUCUGAUAGUUGGACUAUAAAGAAAGCUGAGCGCCGAAGAAUUGAUGCUUUUGAUCUGUGGUGUUGGAGAAGACUCUUGAGAGUCUCUUGGAUUGCAAAGAGAUCGAACCAGUCCAUCCUAAAGGAAAUCAGUCCUAUUCAUUGGAAGGACUGAUACUGAAGCUGAAACUCCAAUACUUUGGUCACCUGAUGCGAAGAGCUGACUCAUUUAAAAAGACCCUGAUGCUGGGAAAGAUUGAAGGCGGGAGGAGAAGGGGAGGACAGAGGAUGAGAUGGUUGGAUGGCAUCACUGACUCAGUAGGUAUGAGUCUGAAUGAACUGCGGGAGUUGGUGAUGGACAGGGAGGCCUGGCAUGCUGCAGUCCAUGGGGUCGGAAAGAGUCGGACCUGACAGCGACUGAACUGAACUGUGACAAAAAGUUUCACCAACAUCAAACCACUUAAUCCUCACCGCACAGUUAUAGAGCAGAUUUCAAAAUGUUUUCUGAUCUGUACAGCAGUGAUUCAAUAUGUUUGCAGAUUAUACUCCACAUAGGUUAUCACAAGAUAAUGCCUGUAAUUCCCUGUGCUGCACAGCAUGUCCUCCUUGCUUUUAUAUUUGGUGGCAUGUAUCAGCUAAUCACUUAAGCCCUAUGUCGUCUCUCCCGACCGCCCCCCUCCCCUUUGGUAGCCACAAGAGUAUUUUCUGCCUCUCUGAAUCUGUUUCUGUUUUGUAUGUACCUUUAUUUAUAUUGUUUUUAAAUUCUCCAUAUAAAUGAUAUCUUACAGAAUUUGCCUUUCCCUGUCUGACUCAUUUCAUUAAGCAUAAUAUUCUCUAGGUCCAUCCAAGUGGCUGCAAAUGGCAGUAUUUCAGCCUUUUUUUAAUGAGUGAGUGAAAUAUCACAGCUUCUUAAUCCAGGUAUCUGUUGCUAGGCACUUGGGUUGCUUCCAUGCCUUGACUAUGCUCAAUAGUGCUGCUAUAACACUGAGGAGUAUUUAUUUUUUCAAAUCAGUGUUUUUGGUUUUUUUCCAAAUAUAUACCCAGGAGUGGAAUUGCUGGAUAACUUUAUUUUUAAUUUUUUGAGGAGGCUGCAAACUAUUUUCCACAGUGGCUGUACCAAUUUACAUUCCCACCAACAGUGUACAAGAGUUCCCUUUUGUCCACAUUUUCUCCAACAUUUGUUAUUUGUAGACUUUUUGAUGAUACUCAUUCUGACAGGCGUGAGGUGAUAUGAUUGUUGUUUUGAUUUGCAUUUCUCUAAUAAUUAGUGGUGUGGAGCAUCUUUUCAUGUGCCUGUUAGCCAUCUGUGUGUCUUCUUUGGAAAAAUGGCUAUACAAGUCUUCUGCCCAUUUUUUGAUUAGGUAGUUGUUGAUGAUGAUAUUGUUACUGAUAUUGUUUUAUGAACUGUUUGUAUAUUUUAGAUACUAACCUCUUGUCAGUCACGUCAUUUAAAAAUAUUUUCUCCCAUUCCAUAGAUUGUCUUUUUAUUUCGUCAAUGGUUUUCUCUGCUGUGCACAAGUUUUAAGUUUAAUCAGGCCCCAACUGUUAAUUUUCGGUUUUAUUUCUGUUGCCUCAGGAGACUUAUCCAAGAAAAUAGUGCCACAGCUAUGUCAGCAAGUGUUCUGUCAGUGUCCUCGUCUAAGAAUUUUAUGGUUCUCAUUUUUUUUUUCCCCCAUGUUUUAAAUUUUAUUUUUCUAUUGAAGGACAAUUGCUUUAUAGAACUUGGUUGUUUUCUGUCAAACCUCAACAUGACUCUACCAUAGGUAUACAUAUACCCCUCCCUUUUGAACCUCUCUCCCGUCUCCCUCCCUACCCCACCCAUCUAGACUGAUCCCAGUUCUCAUUCUUACUGUUUAGGGCUUUAAGCCAUUUGAGUCUGUUUUGUAUGUGGCGCGGCAUGCGUGCAUGCUCAGUUGCUCAGUCCUUUCUGACCCUAUGGACUAUAACCUGCCAGGUGGAGAAGGGAGGGUCCAACACCAGAUUUCUUUCUUUCUUUUUUUUAAUUGUAGUUGAUUUACAGUGUUCCCAGUGUACAGCGGGCUUCCCUGGUGGCUCAGAGGGCUGAAAUCCUUCAGUGGCCAGGCUGGACUAUUGCGACAUUUUGAGAUUUCCAUCAUGUGGACCUUGUUAGAAGUGAUGGACGAUGGGCACUUUCAGCUGCAGCCAGAUGUCCCCAGGGCGCGGUUCUCAGCUCAGCAUGACUGUCCUCAUUGAAUCACAAGUUACAGAGGAGCCCUCUGACUUAGAGAAAGUGAGGUUAAGUUCCCAAGAGGAAAGUGAGGUGCCAGGCAGAGGAUCUAGGAGGAGCAACCGGAAGGGGAGGGGUUUACUAAGGACAGCGCCACCGCUGGAAGCAUUUCACAAAGUCCCUGAGUUCCCAGUGAGUCACUGGGUAAAUGCCCUCGCAGGCGCUCCGUUCUGGUGAGACAUUCGGCAGGGUCCAGGCACCAGGGAGAUUUGAAAGAUGAGACCUCCUGCGUUAAUGUUGCCACACAGCUGUGCCGAAGGAAAUUUAAAAAAGGUUAACAAUCACAUCAGGUUGUCACUCACUUUGCUUACAGAGCUUUCCCAUGGGAAAGCCCUUAACUUAAUCAUUAUUAGGAAUUAUCAAGUGUCAGCAUACUUUUAAUGGCCAUUUAACCCAGUGGAAUGCAGGGAUUGAUGCAGGACAUGCCCUCUGACCUCAGGCAGGGUGUCGGGGAGACCUUUUUCUUCUUAUAAUGAGGUAAACCCCGUCCCAUCCCCAGGUGACCACAGAGCUGUUUGCUGUCACUGUAAGUCUGCAUCCUCUAAAAGUUCGUAUAAAUAGAAUCACAUGGUAUGUACUCUCUCUUCUCUGGCUUCUCUCAGAAUAAUUAUUUUGAUAUUUAUCCAUACUACUGCAUGUCAAUAACAGUUUAUGC
ensembl:lncRNA